rnacentral:lncRNA from 1 species
ACGGAAGAAUAGAGCUUUGUUGAGGAAUUAUCUCCAACCCUAGCUUCAUCUUAGCUUGGUUUGGAGCUCUAAAGAAGGUUAGUAACAUUAUUGCUCUCUUGGAUUGUGCUUUUGGGAGGAUUUUUGGAGUUUAACCUAGUUUUUGGAAAACUAGGGUUUAAUUAGGGUUUCUUGUUGUGAGGCUUUUGGAACCUAAUUGAUGAGUGUAGAAUUCUCUUUUAGGUAGGAUUUGAAGCUUUGUAGCUUCGAUUUGGACCUU